rnacentral:rRNA from 1 species
UACGGGGGGGGCAAGCGUUGUUCGGAAUUACUGGGCGUAAAGAGCUCGUAGGCGGCUUGUCACGUCGGAUGUGAAAUCCCUCGGCUCAACUGAGGAACUGCACGGGAAACUGCUUGGCUUGAGUUCGGGAGAGGGAAGCGGAAUUCCGGGUGUAGCGGUGAAAUGCGUAGAUAUCCGGAGGAACACCGGUGGCGAAGGCGGCUUCCUGGACCGACACUGACGCUGAGGCGCGAAAGCUAGGGGAGCAAACGGG